CCCAGGUCGCCAUGGCAACUAGAAAUUUUGUCCUGGCGCCUGGGAUUUGCCAGCUAUAUAGUUAAUGUGGCCGCUGGAGCUUUAAAGGCGGCCGUCGCGGGGAAUAUUGGAGCCUGCUGCACUGGAGAGAAUGGAGACGGCCGGCCGCCCUGGGUAGCAUGCAAACGGCCAGUCGAGGCAGCAAGGAAGCAGUCGGUCACCCUGAGGAGCAUGGAGGCGGGCAGCUGAGGCAGCAUGGAGCCGGCCGCCCGCAGUGCAUUGUAGGCAACGUACGAGGGAGCAGUACUUUUCCUGUAGCUCCUCUCUGCUCC